CCUACGGGUGGCAGCAGUGGGGAAUAUUGCGCAAUGGGCGAAAGCCUGACGCAGCGACGCCGCGUGAGGGAUGAAGGUCUUCGGAUCGUAAACCUCUGUCAGCAGGGAAGAACGGUCACUUAGCUAAUCAGCAGUGAAUUGACGGUAACUGCAAAGGAAGCACCGGCUAACUCGGUGCCAGCAGCCUCGCUAAUACGGAGGGUGCGAGCGUUAAUCGGACUUACUGGGCGUAAAUAGCGCGGAGGUGGUAUGUCAAGGCAAGGGUGAAAUCCCCGCGCUCAACGGCGGAACUGCCUUUGAAACUGGUAAACUGGAGUGUGUGAGAGGAUAGUGGAAUUCCAGGUGUAGGGGUGAAAUCCGUAGAUAUCAGGAGGAACAUCAGUGGCGAAGGCGACUAUCUGGCACAUAACUGACGCUGAGGAGCGAAAGCGUGGGUAGCAAACAGGAUUAGAUACCCCAGUAGUC
rnacentral:rRNA from 1 species